GGACUCACGACCUCACAAAGGCAGCUGGGUCAGGUGCUUUAGCCACAUGCUUUAGAAGAGACAGCCGCAAAGCAAAUCGGACACUAAUCCUGCCCUGGAGGACCUUAGAUUCCAGAGAUGAGUCACAAACCCCAUUAUUACACAAAGGGGUGGCAUCUUAUGCAGAGUAAAGGCAACAGGCCUGGAGUUCAAGGCCCAGGAGCUAGAUUCUUCCCGGACCCCGGACUUCCAGGCUACCCUUGAACAAAGCUGACUGGGCUCUCACACCUGGACCUGAGGCAGAAAAUCAGAGUCGCGUGUCUGGUGCCUGAGGUAGGAAGCUGUGAGCGAGUGUCAGAACUCACCCAGAACCCUCCACGCCCCACAAGUGCAGCUCACGGCACCAAAGCACCCCCUACAGUGACAUCUUCAGCCGCAGUCUCUUCUGGUGACCGCUUUGAAAGUAGUCCAAGUGUGUUUAUUUGAAAGAAAAAGGCGGCCAUUGGCCAACAGAAAAGAGACUCCAGCAACAAAGAUGGGGAACAGAACGGACAGCGACUGUGUCAUUGAGUGUCCAAACCAAGACAAUUUCGAGAGCGAAAGGGGAUGCUAUUAAUAAUUACACCGGGAGGGGCGCCUGGGUGGCUCAGUCAUUAAGCGUCUGCCUUGGGCUCAGGGCGUGAUCCCGGAGUCCUGGGAUCGAGCCCACGUCAGGCUCCUCCACUGG